rnacentral:misc_RNA from 1 species
GAUGAAGAACGUAGUGAAAUGCGAUAAGUAAUGUGAAUUGCAGAAUUCAGUGAAUCAUCGAAUCUUUGAACGCACAUUGCGCCCGCCAGUAUUCUGGCGGGCAUGCCUGUUCGAGCGUCAUUACAACCCUCAGGCCCCCGGGCCUGGCGUUGGGGAUCGGCGGAGCCCCCCGUGGGCACACGCCGUCCCCCAAAUGCAGUGGCGGUCCCGCCGCAGCUUCCAUCGCGUAGUAGCUAACACCUCGCGACUGGAGAGCGGCGCGGCCACGCCGUAAAACACCCAACUCUUCUGAAGUUGACCUCAAAUCAGGUAGGAAUACCCGCUGAACUUAAGCAUAUCAAUAAGCGGAGGA